AGCAAUCAAAGGCACAUGCCCAAAGCAAGGCCCAACAUGUUCAUACCUCGCUCAGGGAGGAGAUGCAAUUCUAAUUCAAAGGUACAUGCAGUGAGAGGAAUGAGCCUGAUGCCCUAUGUGAAUCACAUGAAGCAAUGGAAGGAUUCUGACUGAAGUUCAAACAAACCACGAGCCAAAAGAUUCAAACAAACCUCCUCAGUCUCCGCCGUGCCAGAAAUCGCCUCUGGCGGCGGUGGAGGUCACAUCACUUCUAAAAUCACAUCACUGGAACCAUAAUGUCAUCCUCAACCUCGAUAUCAACCUGCUUUCUUCCAAUUUCUAGUAAUCGUUUCAGAAUUCAAAAUCAGAGCCAAGAACCUUAAAACUUUCAAUUCAAAUUAAAUGACGAUGGUACAUGGAUUCAAGUUCUAAGCUUAGGGCAAACGUUCCUGAAGGAGAAUGUUAUGUUAUGGUAAUAGAACUAAAAUGAAAGGAGAAGGAAUAGAAUACCUCUGAAACAAAGGUUUGCUCUAAGGAGUUGUUGAAACAGAGAAGAAGGUUGCAGCGCGAGGAAAUCACUUGAAUCAGGACUUGGCAUGUCAUGGCAAGAAAGGUAUUGAAAUUUGGAUGACAAACAUGGCUUGGAGCAAAAUGAAGGUUUACUUGUGAAUGAAGAGACUUGGUCAUGAAAUCAAAUGUAAGGAAUGUAAGAGAAUGAAGAAAACAAAAUGCAUUAGGACUAGGAAUAUGGAAGUUAGGUCAGUCGACUUUGGUCAACUGAUUGACCAAAAAGUCAACUUUAGGUCAAACUUUGAUUUUUUUUGUAAUUUUGUAUGGAUCUUUGUAAAUUGAUACUUGUAUGGUUAAAUGAACAAAUUUGUAUGGAAAUGCCCCUUAGAUUCAAUGUGACAUGCUUUGGAUUUCAAGUUA